rnacentral:rRNA from 1 species
UACGGAGGAUGCAAGCGUUAUCCGGAAUGAUUGGGCGUAAAGCGUCCGCAGGUGGCAAUGUAAGUCUGCUGUCAAAGCGUCUGGCUCAACCAGAUAAAGGCAGUGGAAACUACAUAGCUAGAGUAAGGUAGGGGUAGAGGGAAUUCCUGGUGUAGCGGUGAAAUGCGUAGAGAUCAGGAAGAACAUCGGUGGCGAAAGCGCUCUGCUGGACCUUAACUGACACUGAGGGACGAAAGCUAGGGGAGCGAAUGGG